GAUUAACGCUGGCGGCGUGCAUAACACAUGCAAGUUGAACGAUGAAACUUUACUGACUUCUUCGGAAUGAUUUAAAGCGGAUUAGUGGCGAACGGGUGAGUAACGCGUGAGUAACCUGCCUUACACAAGGGGAUAGCCUCUGGAAACGGAGAAUAAUACCCUAUGAAACCAGACAAUCGCAUGAUAAUCUGGUCAAAAUGUUUAGUGGUGUAAGAUGGACUUGCGUCUGAUUAGCUAGUUGGUGAGAUAAAAGCUCACCAAGGCAACGAUCAGUAGCCGGCUUGAGAGAGUGUACGGCCACAUUGGGACUGAGACACGGCCCAGACUCCUACGGGAGGCAGCAGUGGGGAAUUUUGCACAAUGGGGGAAACCCUGAUGCAGCGACGCCGCGUGAUUUAGAAGGCCUUCGGGUUGUAAAAAUCUUUUGUAUAGGAAGAAAAUGACAGUACUAUACGAAUAAGGUCCGGCUAAUUACGUG
rnacentral:rRNA from 1 species